AAAUAUAGCUAGCCAGCAAUCCACAAGUGCUACUCUGCCUGUGGAAUAGCCCUGCUCUGUCUAUGGAGCUGCCAUUUUCCUGUACUCUGUUGCUCUAAGAAAUUUGCUUUGCUUUCAUUUUAAUCUGUUGGCUGGCUCUUGAAUUCUUUCCUGCACACAAGAACCUUCCCAGGCUGAGCCCCAAUUUGGGGUUCACCUGCAUCACUACCAGUUCCACUGGUGGCUCCUGCUUGACUCAGGCUUAACCCCUCCUUCUUGCCUUGAUAGCAUGUCCUCAUUACAGUGGUUCUUUUAGGGCUGAGCAUGUGACUGAGGUUGGUCCAAACUGAAAAGUAUUUCUGCGUGGUUGGGAGAAGACACAUUCUCUUUCUGAACAGGCAGGUGUGAGGCUGGAGCAAGCUUGGAGUGUAGGAAGCAGAGAAAAUGGCUCCUGUGGCCAGGGGAGAUUUGGCAGAAGGGAGAGUGGCCAUAAAUGAGGUGGGAGAGGCAGUUGUGGUUUGGUCAGAGUCUUUGUGGACUCAAGAAUGGGGUAUGGAUUUUAUCUAAAUGCCAACACAGGGCUUUAAGUUGGGGGAAUUAUGCAAUCUGAUUUAUGUUUCUGAAAGAUUAUUCUGGCCACUGGGAAGAGAAUGGAUUUGAGUUGGGCAAAGGUGGAAGCAGAGAGACCAGUUAGGAGGCAGUGUGCUAGCCUAGAUGAGGGAUAACAACACCGGACCAGAUGUAGCAGUGCACGAGGAGAGAGCUCUCUGAUUCCGAUACUUUUUGGAGAGUCAGCAGGAAUCGCCAAUAGAUUGGAUGUGAGGGUAAGGGUAGGGAGGAAUGCAGGAUGACUCCUGGUUUAGGUCUGACAUCACCUGGCCUAUCCAACCUUACUUGCCAAGCAAGCUGAAUUCCUGAAGAGUAGAGUCCAUUUACCAUCUGCUUUCUCUACAAAACCAUGACCCUCAUUGGCAAUGGAGUUUUCCAUAUUCAGAAUCACAUAGGGACAGACAUCUUUAAGAAGGUCUCCGUUGGGCACGGCAGCUCACACCUCUAAUCCCAGCACUUUGGGAGGCCGAGGCAGGCAGAAUUCGAGGUCAGGAGUUCGAGACCAGCCUGGCCAACAUGGUGAAACCCCAUCUCUACUAAAAAUACAAAAAUUAGCUGGGCUUGGUGGCGCAUGCCUGUAGUCCCAGCUACUCGGGAGGUUGAGGCACGAGAAUCACUUGAACCUGGGAGGUGGAGGU
rnacentral:lncRNA from 10 species